rnacentral:rRNA from 1 species
CCUACGGGAGGCAGCAGUGGGGAAUCUUGCGCAAUGGGCGAAAGCCUGACGCAGCAACGCCGCGUGCGGGAAGAAGGCUUUCGGGCUGUAAACCGCUUUCAGCAGGAACGAAAAUGACGGUACCUGCAGAAGAAGGAGCGGCCAACUAUGUGCCAGCAGCCGCGGUGAUACAUAGGCUUCAAGCGUUGUCCGGAUUUAUUGGGCGUAAAGAGUUCGUAGGCGGUCGAGUAAGUCGGGUGUGAAAAUUCUGGGCUCAACCCAGAGACGCCACCCGAUACUGCUUGACUUGAGUUCGAUAGGGGAGUGGGGAAUUCCUAGUGUAGCGGUGAAAUGCGCAGAUAUUAGGAGGAACACCGGUGGCGAAGGCGCCACUCUGGAUCGAUACUGACGCUGAGGAACGAAAGCAUGGGUAGCAAACAGGAUUAGAUACCCUGGUAGUCCAUGCCGUAAACGGUGGGCACUAGGUGUGGGUUUCUAUUAACGAAAUCCGCGCCGUCGCUAACGCAUUAAGUGCCCCGCCUGGGGAGUACGGUCGCAAGCUAAAACUACAANANANAGCGNGNGAGAGCGACGACGACGACGAGGAGGAGAG